UUAAAAAUUUUUCAGUGCUUCAUAAAAUGCGUUGGGUCUGAAAUGGGAUUGUUUGACUUUGGAAAGGCAAUGAGCAUGGAAGUUUUGCGGCAAAUUGAGCUCGUAGCCCAGGAAAAUCCUGUUUUGCUUGAACAGGCAAUGGCUGCCUUUCUCCAGUGCAGCGCAAUUAAGUUCAAUGACGACUGCACGACUGCCUACGAAAUGUACAAGUGCUGCCAACAGAAGGUGCCUAGCGUGGUUACGGCAAUAAUUUAUAAUAAUUAUGAUGAUGCAUCUGUCGUAAGAAAAAUAAUAAUUUGAGCCUAAUUAAUUCUAAAAUGAACUUGCUGUAUUCCCCACCAAUUGAUUUAAAGCUGAUG